rnacentral:antisense_RNA from 1 species
CUUCACCGAACCCAGCCACAACGGCCCCUGCUCACCCCGGUCCUGGCCGUAGGUGGCAAGCAGCGCCUGCGCCUC